CGGGAGGGCUUCCGGGCCGCGCUGCACUGGCGGCCACUCCCGACGCUCGGUCGCGCCUCCCUGGCAGGUGUGUGCCGGGAGUGAAAAAGGUUACUCUGCAAGAAUUCUGUUACAGAUGAGCGCAGAGUGGGUAAAACCAGAACCGAGCCUCUCUGGCCAGUGCAGGCCUUUGAUGAAGUAACAGCCCAACUCAAGAACAGCUAGGAAACCCUGGGAAGCAGGUGUCUGGCUGGCCCCGACGAAAGGAGGAAGCACCGCGCCAGGAGCCACUAACCACAUGGUGGAGAAAUCAUGUAAUCUUAGAAGCUGAAAGAAAUUCACAGAAG
ensembl:lncRNA